CGGAACACGUACAGAACCUUCCUUUAAGUCGGGGGGAGUAGCCCAUAGAAAUGUGGAUUAAUACCCCAUAGUAAUAUUGACUGGCAUCAGUUGGUAUUUAAAGAUUUAUCACUUAAAGAAUGGCUGUGCGGCUGAUUAGGUAGUUGGUGUGGGUAACGGCCCACCAAGCCAUCGAUCAGUAACUGGUGUGAGAGCACGACCAGUCACACGGGCACUGAGACACGGGCCCG
rnacentral:rRNA from 1 species